UCGUUUCGGGGUGGGUAUCCGUUGGGAGGCUUCAUGAGCACCAGCCAGUGCUUGUAGUCGCAGCCUUCGACUAAACUCGGCACUCGAAUUAACUCGGAGCAACGAGUCGUGUCCGAGUUAACGGAACCAGAACUUCCGGAGAACGGUAAUAACGGAGCAAGUCGAAACCGGACGGCUGCUGCCGUUAGGUUUGACGGCCUUCUGACGUAAAAAACGUUUAUUCAAAUAUGAUAUGACCAUAUCCUCCAAAUACAUGGAGUUAAGGUCAUUAACGCCCCAUAUAAUAAGAUUUUGGGUCUAGUUUAGCAACAUUCUAAUUUAACAAUCGUAAAUGCAACUGCAAAUAUUCUUGUUAUUUCCGAUACAAAUGCCAUCCAUGUUGUACUUUUGAAGACAAAGCGGUGUGCAUUCUUGAAAACUGCAUGCCUUCCUAAGGUUCGGAUUCACCCUGCAUAUUUUCUGUGCAUUUGGCAAAGCCAAAAAGGCUAAAAACAAAUAAAAAUAUUUAACAAGCCUACAAAUGAAUUUAAGUAUAUUAUGCAAACAAAACGAGAAUAGUUCAUUUGAAAAUAAUUAGUUGAAUAGUACUUUAGCCAAAGGGUUCCUACAAAGAACCUGAAGAAUGAUCUGACUCUUCUUAAAGAGAUCAAGGGAAGAUGAGCAUACCAAUGAAAUACAAAGCAUACAAAUCCUUACCUGAGAGAACAAACAUGGAGAUGACCAGAUACGAACACAAGAAUUUUGUCAUGACUUUUGAAUAAUUAGAUGACUAUGUUAAUUAAACAAUUAUUAUUUUUAUUUGAUAUUGAAAACGUGAUAAAGAAUGAAUGUUUUAUAUACAAGUAAACAUUGACGAUACAAACAUAGAGGGAAUCUCUUACUAGGAAACAUUUUUAAAAAUUACAAUGGAAAGAGAAUCAUAAUAAUUAAUUUACAAAAUCGUUAUGGUAAACAAUCUUACAUUUUUCAAUUACUGAAAGACAUUUUAUUGUUUUAAAUUCUUAGAUAUCUUACUUUAUGUGAAUAACAAACAUAAAUUAAAAUACAUUCACUCUCUUUCAUUAUUUUAUCACCUUUUAUCCUUUGAUAUUUUUAAGUUAGUAAAAUAAUUAUAUUAAGUUAGUAUAUUAUUUAUAAAUAGUAUAUACCAAGUCUGUAUUGAAAAUAAAUUACCUUAAAUAAACAAAUAAUAUUACAAUAUAAUGAUUCCAUAUUUAAUAGAAUAUAAUGAAAAUUAAAAGCAAACACUUUAUAUUAAAAUGUAAAUAAUAAUAUUUGAAGAAACUGUUAAAUAAAUUUAUUUAUUACGUAUAAAUUUUAGAUUAAUAACAUUAAUUACAUUUCUAUAAUGGUGUAAAUAUCUAGUCUAAAUUUUUGGCAUGAUCCUAUCUAAUUGAUCCUAUAUUUUUAAUAUCCAUUCCAGCUAUAUAUAUAUACUUAGACAAUUUUUGGACAAGAUAUUCUUACAUACUUUUCUUAAAAUCAAAAACAAAUCUCCUACCAAAAAUACAUACAGAUAUCAUAUGUUUUUUUCUUUUGGUCGCACAUACACAUAACCUAUAUUUAUGUAUAAAAGCAAAAAAAAUUACCAUGUCUUAAAGUUCAAAACCGAAUUAGCUCUAAAGAUCAUUCAAUUCUUUGUAUACUCUAGAUAAACUCUUAGGUUGAGAAAGUAUCUUUAGUCAAGUGGUUAAAUGUGGUAUUCUUCACCGGAGCUUACUACAUCUCCAUUCCUACUCCAUAAUUUACUCUAAAAAUAGAAUAUGAACAAAAAAAAAAAAUUACUCCAUAAAUAGAAUGAUUUUUUUAUUUUUUGUUUUUACUCCAUUUCUCCUUCUAUUUAUGGAGUAAAUUAUGGAAUGGGUAUGAAGAUGCUCUUAGCUCCACUAAGUUGUACGUGUUUUCUGCAUUCUUUAGUUGGUUAUGAUUCGAGUUAGAAACCUUCAAAGUAGUACCAAUUUAGGAAAAUAAUAAUGAUAAAAACUUUUUUUAACAAGUGAAAGAAUUGUUUAUUUUUUGAACAAAACUUAAGUUCAUCCCCUAGGGUGAAUCUUUAAAUUCACCUCUCUUUUUAGGACCAAUCAAAGUGGCACAUAGAUAAUUAAUUAAAAAAUAUUAAAUUUAUUUAAAAAUAACUAGAAAAAAGAAUAACGUCAAUUUUAACGACGAUGACGCUGCUAGCUAAACCGUAAACCCUAAAUCUUAAAUUCUAUACCUUAAACCGCAAAUCUUAAACCCAAACCCUAAACCCUAAAUCCAAAUCCUAUACCAUAAACCUAAAUUGUAUACCCUAAACUGUAUACCCUAAACUAAACCCUAAACCAAACCAUAAACCCUAAACGCAAACCAUAUACCCUAAACCUAAAUCCUAGACCCUAAACUCAAACCUUAUAGCGUCUAGGUUUAGGGUUUGGGUUUAGGGUUUACGGUUUUGGUUUUAAGUCUAAGAUUUAGGUUUACAGUAUACAAUUUGGGUUUAGAGUCUAGGAUUUGGUUUAGGGUAUAGGGUUUGGAUUUAAGGUUUACGGUUUGGGUUUAUAGGGUCUAGGAUUUGGGUUUAGAGUAUAUGGUUUGGGUUUAAGGUCUAGGAUUUAGGUUUAAGAUAUAGGGUUUGGGUUUAAGAAUUACUGUUUAGGGUUAAGAAUUUAAGAUUCGGGUUUACGGUUUAGCUGGCGGCAUCAGCUUGUUAAAAUUAGUAUUAUUCUUUUUUUAGUUAUUUUAAAAUAGAUUAGAGCCAUGGCGAGCGUUCUGAUAAAGCCUUGUACGAUGUCGUUUCGGGGUGGGUAUCCGUUGGGAGGCUUCAUGAGCACCAGCCAGUGCUUGUAGUCGCAGCCUUCGACUAAACUCGGCACUCGAAUUAACUCGGAGCAACGAGUCGUGUCCGAGUUAACGGAACCAGAACUUCCGGAGAACGGUAAUAACGGAGCAAGUCGAAACCGGACGGCUGCUGCCGUUAGGUUUGACGGCCUUCUGACGUUGCUCGCCAUUUGUACGGCGGAGCGUAAAAGGAUGAAACCUUGAUGACGUUAGAGUCCCUUCGACUCAGACAGAA
rnacentral:lncRNA from 1 species